CACGUAUCCUCAUGUUACGUGAUGGCAGUUUUUUUUUUUUUUUUUUUUUUUCACUU
rnacentral:ribozyme from 1 species